GUGAAUCAUCAAAUUUUUGAACGCAAAUUGCACUCCCUGGUAUUCCGGGGAGUAUGCCUGUUUGAGGGUCUGUAAAACAAAAAUCGAAGCUGCUCUCUUUUGUUUUAAGGGUGAAAUCGGGUGAAUUUAACCGUCUUUCAAAUUUUAAGUCAUAUCAAAUUUGCUUUAAAUUCAUGAAUCCGUUACGGUUAAAGCGUAUUUAAGAUCUACUUUGAUUGAGAACUCUCAAUGAUCAUACCA
rnacentral:misc_RNA from 1 species